rnacentral:lncRNA from 1 species
AUGAUGCUUCUGAGGUACAGUCCAGUGCAAAAAAUUUUUCACCUAGGUCAAAGUAGUUCGGCUUCCUUACAAUACUUUAAUCCAAUGAGAUUGCUUUAUUCAGGUGUUCAGUCGAACACGCUUACCAGGGACGAUUCCAUUCCGUUUUAUCUUAGCAACGGGGGUAUGCAAGGUUUAUGUCACGUGCUCAACUGUGGUUGUCAUUAACAGCAUUUUGACUGUUCUUUUGAGAAUUUUUGUUUUAUUAAUAAUAAACUAAUCUAUUUUGUUACUAAUGUAACGUAAAUGGUGCACAGUAUCGAUAUAAUUAUACGCGUAAUCAAGAGAUAAGUUGAUGCAGCGCUCGCUAACUUAUACUGAGGCAGUGAUUUACAAUUGUAAUU